rnacentral:lncRNA from 1 species
GGAUGGUCUCGAUCUCCUGACCUCGUGAUCCACCCGCCUUGGCCUCCCAAAGUGUUGGGAUUACAGGCAUGAGCCACCGUACCUGGCCCAGGUUUUCCUUUUUUUUUAUGUCUUCUGUACAAUAGAGUUGGCCCUCCAUAUCCACAGGUUCCACAUCCCUGAUUCAAUCAACUCCUGAUAAAAAAUAUUGGAAAAAAUUUUUAUAACAAUAAAAACCAAUAAUACAACAAUAAUUACAAAUAAUACAUUGUAACAAUGAUUUCCAUGGCAUUUAUAAUACAUUGUAUUAGGUAUUAUAAGUAAACGAGAUGAUUUGAAGUAUAUUGGAGGAUGUGCAUAGGUUAUACUAUGCCGUUUUAUAUAAAGGACUUAAGCGUCUGUGGAUUUUGGUAUCUGCAGAGGUCCUGGAACCGGUCUCCCUUGGAUACGGAGGGACAACUGUAGUUCUCUGUCUUUGAAAACAUUAAUCGAUACAAGUGGCCAGUGAAUGUAUAGUAUGGGAGGGAGUAAUCCAGUAUGGGGGACAAGGUUGCCAUAUAUUUGCCAAAAGUAGUUGAAUCUUCUUUCUGUUUUUCCCUCCUGGUGGAAUAAGUUUAUUGUUUGCUAUGAGGAGCCAGAGGCUGUGUUUGUUUAAAGCAAUGGUACCCAAUCUUAAGCAUGUGUAAAGGUCUCCCUGGGUCUGUGAACCAUACCUUGAGAAAUAACUAGAAAAGUAAAAGAAUGGUGAACCACUAUUAAUAAUACUUCCAUUUUGCAUACUAAAUAUGUUGCGUGUACCUGUGUGUGUGUGUUGGGAAUAGUAAUAUGAAGUUUGCUCACAAAACACUCCCACUGUGAUUCACAUUAUUUUAUAGCACAACCAAUAAUGAUUAAACAUAAUUAUUUCCUUUGACUACUUUUCAUUUCAGUGGUAAAACAGCUGAUGAAAGUUAUUUGGGAUGGAAAGAGUAAUACAAGACAUACGCAGAUGGAGUCUCCUGUGCGUAGGUUUAGCACACCCAUGUUAGCUUGUCCACAUUAGGCCUUCUUUUGAAGGUACUGUAUCUAAAGAUAAGGGCAUAAGUGAUCAUUUAAUUCUCAGCCACUUCACUGAUACUACAAGGUGUUACACAGUAAUUAUAGUGGUUUGAUACAGACAUUUGUUUACAAGAAACUGAAUUGGCAUUAUUAACUUAUUUCACACAAAAAAAGUUAGCUUUACCCAUGAACUGUAAUUCAGAUUGAUAAGGUGACCUACCCAUGAAAAAGACACCUGAGACCUGUUUACUUUUUUAAACUAUGAAGUGAAAUCCUCAGUUCAAUAAGUGUCCCAAGGAGAAUUUCCUCUGUUAAAUUUUCCCUGUUAACUUAGUAUAAUUGGUUUUCUUGAAUAGAAGAAUAAUGAUUUCUGUAAGAUAUUUUAAUGUGAAUAUUUUUGCUGUCUUCAUCUUUAAAAAUUAAAUACAGUACUAUAUAUAGAUAUUAAAAUUUUAAAGUGGGACUAGGUGUUUUUAUGUAUACAAUUACAGUUUGUCUCCUCUCUUUGCAAAUUUACUGGCUAUUAUCAGAAUAAAGGUUGGACUCAUUUUGCUUAUCCCAGUCAUUAAAAUGUUGUGAUCUGUUUCUAACAUAUUUAGCAUUUCAUUUUUAAAAUGAGAUGUGCCAU